rnacentral:piRNA from 1 species
GUCCUUGUAAACAGUUGUUGACAGAAGCCA